AGCAGCCACGGUAAUUCCAGCUCCAAUAGUGUAUAUUAAAGUUGUUGCAGUUAAAAAGCUCGUAGUUGAAUUUUGGGGUCAGUAGGCUGGUAGUGUCACAGGUAUGUACUGGUCUUACUGAUUCCUCCUUCCUGAUGAACUGUAAUGCCAUUAAUUUGGUGUUGCGGGGAAUCUGGACUGUUACUUUGAAAAAAUUAGAGUGUUUAAAGCAGGCUAACGCUUGAAUACAUUAGCAUGGAAUAAUGAAAUAGGACGAUCGAUCCUAUUUUGUUGGUUUCUAGGAUUGACGUAAUGAUUAAUAGGGAUAGUUGGGGGCAUUAGUAUUCAAUUGUCAGAGGUGAAAUUCUUGGAUUUAUUGAAGACUAACUACUGCGAAAGCAUUUGCCAAAGAUGUUUUCAUUAAUCAAAACGAAAGUUAGGGGAUCGAAGACAAUCAGAUACCGUCGUAGUCUUAACUAUAAACUAUGCCGACUAGGGAUCAGAUGAUGUUAAUUUUUUAAUGUACUCAUUCGG
rnacentral:rRNA from 1 species